UCCGAGUUGACCCCGGCAGUCUCCUAUGAGUCCCCGGCAUUAUCCGCUGGCAACAUAGGACGAGGGUUGCGCUCGUUGCGGGACUUAACCCAACAUCUCGCGACACGAGCUGACGACAACCAUGCACCACCUGUGAACCGACCGCAAGCGGGGCACCUGUUUCCAGGUAUUUCCAGUCCACGUCAAGCCUUGGUAAGGUUCUUCGCGUUGCAUCGAAUUAAUCCGCAUGCUCCGCCGCUUGUGCGGGCCCCCGUCAAUUCCUUUGAGUUUUAACCUUGCGGCCGUACUCCCCAGGCGGAGUGCUUAAGGCGUUAGCUGCGGCACCGAAAGGCAAGCCUCCCGACACCUAGCACUCAUCGUUUACAGCGUGGACUAC
rnacentral:misc_RNA from 1 species